rnacentral:rRNA from 1 species
UACGUAGGGGGCAAGCGUUGUCCGGAUUUAUUGGGCGUAAAGAGCGUGUAGGCGGCCAUACAGGUCCGUUGUGAAAACUGGAGGCUUAACCUCCAGACGUCGACUGGAAACCGUAUGGGACUAGAGUCCGAAAAGAGGAGAGUGGAAUUCCUGGUGUAGCGGUGGAAAUGACGCAGAGUAUCAGGAGGAACACCGGUGGCGAAGGCGGGUCUCUGGGCCGAUACUGACGCUGAGGAGCGAAAGCGUGGGGAGCGAACAGG